UUCGCAAUGCCCGAAAGGGUAGCCGCUGACGGAGGGAUCUGCGUCCUAUUAGCUUGUUGGUGAGGUAACGGCUCACCAAGGCAAAGAUGGGUACGGGGCCUGAGAGGGUGUUCCCGCACACUGGGACUGAGACACUGCCCAGACUCCUACGGGAGGCUGCAGUCGAGAAUCAUUCGCAAUGCCCGAAAGGGUGACGAAGCGACGCCGCGUGAACGAUGAAGGCCCUCGGGUUGUAAAGUUCUGUCACAUGGGAAGAAAAAUGCGGGAACCAAUAAUUCCCGUAUCUGACGUUACCAUGAGAGGAAGCACCAGCAAACUUCGUGCCAGCAGCUGCGGUAAUACGAAGGGUGCAAGCGUUGUUCGGAAUCACUGGGCUUAAAGGGCACGUAGGCGGGGAGAUAAAUCAGGAGUGAAAGCCCGGCGCUCAACGUCGGAAUGCCUCUUGAAAAUGUCUCUCUCGAGUGCAGGAGGGGAGAGUGGAACUCUUAGUGGAGCGGUGAAAUGCGUAGAUAUUAAGGGGAACGCCGGCGGCGAAAGCGGCUCUCUGGCCUGCUACUGACCCUGAGGUGCGAAAGCUAGGGGAGCAAAAAGGAUUAGAUACCCUUGUAGUCCUAGCCGUAAACGAUGGGCACUAAGUAGAGGGGUUUUA
rnacentral:rRNA from 1 species